rnacentral:rRNA from 1 species
UGAACGUUGGCGGCGUGGAUUAGGCAUGCAAGUCGAGCGCGAAAGCUCCUUCGGGAGUGAUUAGAGCGGCGAAAGGGAGAGUAACGCGUAGAUACCUGCCCUCGGAUCCGGGAUAGCGACGGGAAACUGUCGGUAAUACCGGAUAAUGUCCCCGGACCAAAGGUUUACUGCCCGGGGAGCGGUCUGCGUCCUAUUAGUUUGUUGGUGGGGUAACGGCCUACCAAGGCAAAGAUGGGUAGCGGGUGUGAGAGCAUGGCCCGUCUCACUGGGACUGAGACACUGCCCAGACGUCUACGGACGGCUGCAGUCGAGAAUCUUCCGCAAUGGGCGAAAGCCUGACGGAGCGACGCCGCGUGCGGGAUGAAGGCCUUCGGGUUGUAAACCGCUGUCAGAGGGGAGGAAAGUUUGACUGAUCUUCAGAGGAAGUACGGGCUAAGUUCGUGCCAGCAGCCGCGGUAACACGAACCGUACGAACGUUAUUCGGAAUCACUGGGCUUAAAGAGUCCGUAGGCGGCUUGGUAGGUGAGGUGUGAAAUCCCACGGCUCAACCGUGGAACUGCGCUUCAAACCACCAAGCUUGAGGGAGAUAGAGGUGAGCGGAACAGAUGGUGGAGCGGUGAAAUGCGUUGAUAUCAUCUGGAACACCGGUGGCGAAAGCGGCUUACUGGAUCUCUUCUGACGCUGAGGAACGAAAGCUAGGGUAGCGAACGGGAUUAGAUACCCCGGUAGUCCUAGCCGUAAACGAUGAGCACUAGUCCGUGGGGACUCCCACAUCUUCUCGGACGUAGCGAAAGUGUUAAGUGCUCCGCCUGGGGAGUAUGGUCGCAAGGCUGAAACUCAAAGGAAUUGACGGGGGCUCACACAAGCGGUGGAGGAUGUGGCUUAAUUCGAGACUACGCGAAGAACCUUAUCCUAGUCUUGACAUGCUUAGGAAUUCCGUGAAAGCGAAGAGUGCCUUUCGGGGAGCCUUUACACAGGUGCUGCAUGGCUGUCGUCAGCUCGUGUCGUGAGAUGUCGGGUUAAGUCCCUUAACGAGCGAAACCCUUGUCUCUAGUUGCCAGCGAGUAAUGUCGGGGACUCUAGAGAGACUGCCGGUGUUAAACCGGAGGAAGGUGGGGAUGACGUCAAGUCCUCAUGGCCUUUAUGACCAGGGCUGCACACGUCCUACAAUGCGGCAUACAAAGGGAAGCGACCUCGCGAGAGCAAGCAAAUCCCAGAAAGUGUCGCCCAGUUCGGAUUGCAGGCUGCAACUCGCCUGCAUGAAGCCGGAAUCGCUAGUAAUCGCGGGUCAGCAUACCGCGGUGAAUAUGUUCCUGAGCCUUGUACACACCGCCCGUCAAGCCACGAAAGUGGGAUGUGCCCGAAGUCGCCGUGCCAACUUUUAGAGGGCUAGCGCCGA